GCGGUGGAGCAUGUUGUUUAAUUCGAACAACGCGCAGAACCUUACCUGGGCUUGACAUGCUAGUGGUACAACUCCGAAAGGAGAAGGACCCUCUUCGGGGGGAGCUAGCGCAGGUGUUGCAUGGCUGUCGUCAGCUCGUGUCGUGAGAUGUUGGGUUAAGUCCCGUAACGAGCGAAACCCUUGUCCUUAGUUGCCAGCGGGUAGUGCCGGGGACUCUAAGGAGACUGCCGGUGUUAAACCGGAGGAAGGUGGGGAUGACGUCAAGUCCUCAUGGCCCUUACGCCCAGGGCUACAAACGUGCCACAAUGGCCGGUACAAAGGGAAGCCAAACCGUGAGGUGGAGCAAAUCCCAAAAAGCCGGUCUUAGUUCGGAUUGAAGGCUGCAAUUCGCCUUCAUGAAGCUGGAAUCGCUAGUAACCGUGGAUCAGCCACGCCACGGUGAAUAUGUUCCUGAGCCUUGUACACACCGCCCGUCAAGCCACGAGAGCCGGGAGUGCCCGAAGUCGCUGACCCAACCGAU
rnacentral:rRNA from 1 species